GAUGAACGCUAGCGGCAGGCCUAAUACAUGCAAGUCGAACGGGAUCCAGAUUGUAGCUUGCUACAGUUUGGUGAGAGUGGCGUACGGGUGCGUAACGCGUGAGCAACCUGCCCAUAUCAGGGGUAUAGCCCGGCGAAAGUCGGAUUAACACCGCAUAACAAUGCAGUACCGCAUGGUACCGUAUUUAAAUAUUUAUAGGAUAUGGAUGGGCUCGCGUGACAUUAGCUAGUUGGUAAGGUAACGGCUUACCAAGGCUAUGAUGUCUAGGGGCUCUGAGAGGAGAAUCCCCCACACUGGUACUGAGACACGGACCAGACUCCUACGGGAGGCAGCAGUAAGGAAUAUUGGUCAAUGGAGGGAACUCUGAACCAGCCAUGCCGCGUGCAGGAUGACUGCCCUACGGGUUGUAAACUGCUUUUAUACGGGAACAAACCCUACUACGUGUAGUAGGCUGAGUGUACUGUAGGAAUAAGGAUCGGCUAACUCCGUGCCAGCAGCCGCGGUAAUACGGAGGAUCCGAGCGUUAUCCGGAUUUAUUGGGUUUAAAGGGUGCGUAGGCGGCUUCAUAAGUCAGUGGUGAAAUUCGGCAGCUCAACUGUCGGCGUGCCUUUGAUACUGUGGAGCUUGAAUUUGGUCGAAGGAGGCGGAAUGGGACAAGUAGCGGUGAAAUGCAUAGAUAUGUCCCGGAACCCCAAUUGCGAAGGCAGCUUCCUAGGUCAUUAUUGACGCUGAUGCACGAAAGCGUGGGGAUCGAACAGGAUUAGAUACCCUGGUAGUCCACGCCCUAAACGAUGGUGACUCGAUGUCGGCGAUAUACCGUCGGUGUCCAAGCGAAAGCGUUAAGUCACCCACCUGGGGAGUACGACCGCAAGGUUGAAACUCAAAGGAAUUGACGGGGGCCCGCACAAGCGGAGGAGCAUGUGGUUUAAUUCGAUGAUACGCGAGGAACCUUACCCGGGCUUGAAAGUUAGCGAAGAUGGCAGAGACGCCAUCGUCCUUCGGGACGCGAAACUAGGUGCUGCAUGGCUGUCGUCAGCUCGUGCCGUGAGGUGUUGGGUUAAGUCCCGCAACGAGCGCAACCCCUAUGUUUAGUUGCCAGCAUGUUAUGGUGGGGACUCUAAACAGACUGCCUGCGUAAGCAGUGAGGAAGGUGGGGACGACGUCAAGUCAUCAUGGCCCUUACGUCCGGGGCUACACACGUGCUACAAUGGUCGGUACAGCGGGCAGCUACCUGGCAACAGGAUGCUAAUCUCGUAAAGCCGAUCACAGUUCGGAUCGGGGUCUGCAAACUCGACCCCGUGAAGUUGGAUUCGCUAGUAAUCGCGUAUCAGCAAUGACGCGGUGAAAUACGUUCCCGGGCCU
rnacentral:rRNA from 1 species